rnacentral:rRNA from 1 species
CAAUAGCGUAUAUUAAAGUUGUUGCAGUUAAAAAGCUCGUAGUUGAAUUUCUGGCGGGCGCGCCGGUCUUCCAAGUGUUGUACUGGGCGCAGUCCGCCAUCCUUGUGGAGAGGGCUCGCAUUGAGUUGCGUGUCGGAUCUGCAUCAUUUACUGUGAAAAAAUUAGAGUGUUUAAAGCAGGCUGUCGCUUGAAUACAUUAGCAUGGAAUAAUAAGAUAGGACUUCGGUCUAUUUUGUUGGUUGCGAACCGAGGUAAUGAUUAAUAGGGAUAGUUGGGGGUAUUCAUAUUUAAUUGUCAGAGGUGAAAUUCUUGGAUUUAUGAAAGAUGAACAACUGCGAAAGCAUUUACCAAGGAUGUNUUCAUUAA